rnacentral:lncRNA from 1 species
UCAAAACAAAGUUUUAAUUAAGCCCAAACAUGAAAGAAAAUAAUAAAAAUAACUAAUCUGUCAUUAAAUACCACCGGCCCUUCUUUCCUUGUGUAGCUAGGAUGAAUAAGGAAUCCUUAUAAGAAAAGGAUUCCGAAACAUUAAUGAAUCACUGCCACGCUUGUAGAUUAUAUUGCAGCUCAUUAAAGAUCCUAGUGGAACUAGGAAAUUCCCAAAAC